GAUGAAGAACGUAGCGAAACGCGAUAUGUAAUGUGAAUUGCAGAAUUCAGUGAAUCAUCGAAUCUUUGAACGCUCAUGGCGCCUUCCAGUAUCCUGGGAGGCAUGCCUGUCCGAGCGUCGUUUCAACCCUCGAGCCCCCGUGGCCCGGCGUUGGGGAUCUGCCCAGGCAGUCCCCGAAAACCAGUGGCGGACCCGUUACAGGCCCUUCCCUUGCGUAGUAGCAUUCGCCUCGCAUCGGGAGCCGGCGGGCUUCCAGCCUCUAAACCCCCAUCAAGUCCGCCCCGGCGGCACCAAGGUUGACCUCGGAUCAGGUAGGAAUACCCGCUGAACUUAAGCAUAUCAAUAAGCGGAGGA
rnacentral:misc_RNA from 1 species